AGGGAACCCAAUGCAGGGCUCGAUCCCAGGACCCUGGGAUCAGGACCCGAGCCAAACGCAGAUGCUUAACAACUGAGUCACCCAGAGAUCAUGAAAACCAGCUUCUCAGGGAGGAGACGUGAAAUACAGAUGUAUGAUAGACAAGGAAACUCCCAGUAAAGGCUCUGGCUGAGACUUUCUUCUUGCUCCUUUCUGAUUCCUGACCAACACUGCUGCUUUCCCCUAUGACCGUGCAUGAUAUGAAGGGACCUCAUCUCUGGGACCUGUGAGUAUAAUCAAAUUCUUUACCAUAAUCCAACAUUUACAUUCUUAG
rnacentral:lncRNA from 1 species